GACGAACGCUGGCGGCGUGCCUAAUACAUGCAAGUCGAGCGGACUUGAUGAGAAGCUUGCUUCUCUGAGAGUUAGCGGCGGACGGGUGAGUAACACGUAGGCAACCUGCCUGUAAGACUGGGAUAACUACCGGAAACGGUAGCUAAUACCGGAUAGGUGAUUUUCUCGCAUGAGGAAGUCAAGAAAGACGGAGUAAUCUGUCACUUACGGAUGGGCCUGCGGCGCAUUAGCUAGUUGGUGAGGUAAUGGCUCACCAAGGCGACGAUGCGUAGCCGACCUGAGAGGGUGAACGGCCACACUGGGACUGAGACACGUCCCAGACUCCUACGGGAGGCAGCAGUAGGGAAUCUUCCGCAAUGGACGAAAGUCUGACGGAGCAACGCCGCGUGAGUGAUGAAGGUUUUCGGAUCGUAAAGCUCUGUUGCCAGGGAAGAACGUCUUAGAGAGUAACUGCUCUAAGAGUGACGGUACCUGAGAAGAAAGCCCCGGCUAACUACGUGCCAGCAGCCGCCGCGG
rnacentral:rRNA from 1 species